GCGCCCGUAGUUCAACGGUUAGAACUUGGAGCUUAUACCUCCAUGACCCUGGUUCGACUCCAGGCGGGCGUA
rnacentral:tRNA from 1 species